rnacentral:rRNA from 1 species
CCUACGUGUGGCAGCAGUGGGGAAUAUUGCUCAAUGGGGGAAACCCUGAUGCAGCAACGCCGCGUGAACGAUGAAGGUCUUCGGGUUGUAAAGCCCUGUUCUUAAGGAAGAUAAUGACGGUAUCUGAGGAAUAAGCACCGGCUAACUCCGUGCCAGCAGCCGCGGUAAUACGUAGGGGGCAAGCGUUACCCGGAAUCACUGGGCGAAAAGGGGGCGUAGGCGGGAUAGUAAGUCAGAGGUGAAAGGCUAGGGCUUAACCGUAGUACUGCAUUGAAAACUGUUAUCUUGAGGUCAGGGAGGGGGAGGGGGAUUUCUUGGUGUAGGGGUAAAAGCG